CUGGCUUUUGCUAAAAGCGCUGGAAAUAACGCGGAGCGGGGGAGGCGGGAGGCGGCUCCGCGGGGGCCGGGGGCUGCCCUGCCCGAGCCGGGCACGGCGACCCCAGGGCUGAGGAAGGUGGAAGGUAACCGGGGAAGCGAUGUCUAAACCGUCAGCCCUCCUAACAGCUGAGAAAUCUGGGGGGCAAAGGCACAUCCAUUCCUGCUUUGCAAAAUAAGUGUCUUCCGGAGGAAAACCAAAAUGUAUAGAUGUGAGGAGCACCUUUGAAAAGAGGAAGGGAAAAUAAUAACACCACCAACACUUAAAAAAAAAAAAAAAAAAAAAAAAAAAA